UAGCCAUGCGAGUCGAGAGGGUUCGGCCCUCGGCGAACUGCUCAGUAACACGUGNGANAAUCUAACCUUAGGUGGAGCAUAACCUCGGGAAACUGAGUAAUAAUACUCCAUAGAUCUUUGAGGCUGGAAUGCGCUUAGAUUGAAAGCUUCGGCGCCUAAGGAUGAGUCUGCGGACUAUCAGGUAGUAGUCAGGGUAAAGACCUGACUAGCCUACGACGGAUACGGGUUGUGAGAGCAAUAACCCGGAGAUGAUAUCUGAGACACGAUAUCAGGCCCUACGGGGCGCAGCAGGCGCGAAAACUUCACAAUGCGCGAAAGCGCGAUGAGGGGAUCCCAAGUGCUUGCACGUAAGUGUAAGCUGUUUUUCUGUCUAAAAAGCAGAGAGAGUAAGGGCUGGGUAAGACGGGUGCCAGCCGCCGCGGUAAUACCUGCAGCUCAAGUGGUGGCCGCUAUUAUUGGGCCUAAAACGUCCGUAGCCGGCUGAGUAAAUGCCUGGGUAAAUCGUGUGGCUUAACCAUACGAAUUCCGGGUAGACUGCUCAGCUUGGGACCGGAAGAAGUUAGAGGUACUCCUGGGGUAGGGGUGAAAUCCUGUAAUCCUGGGGGGACCACCAGUGGCGAAGGCGUCUAACUAGGACGGGUCUGACGGUGAGGGACGAAGCCCUGGGGCGCAAACCGGAUUAGAUACCCGGGUAGUCCAGGGUGUAAACGCUGCUUGCUUGAUGUUAGCUGGGCUCCGAGCUCGGCUAGUGUCGGAGAGAAGUUGUUAAGCAAGCUGCCUGGGAAGUACGGUCGCAAGACUGAAACUUAAAGGAAUUGGCGGGGGAGCA
rnacentral:rRNA from 1 species